CACCUGUGGUUCCCUUUCCCAUGGGAUCUGAACACCUGUCCUGGUGGUCGUAAAGGGACGACUAGUCAUACGGAAGCUGUCCUCAGGAGGCCUGUAAUCUGCUUUAGAGCGUGUGGGCUAGUUUCAAACAAGG
rnacentral:snoRNA from 1 species